rnacentral:misc_RNA from 1 species
AAGUCGUAACAAGGUUUCCGUAGGCGAACCUGCGGAAGGAUCAUUACCUUCUAUAUCGGGGGCCGGAAUACUGGAAGUUUAGGGCCCUAGAGGUUUCUUUCCCACUCUUUCACCCGCCCCUGUCUGAAUAUACCCAUGUCUUUUGCGUACGAUUUGUUUCCUUGGUGGGCUUGCCCGCCAAUAGGACAUUUAUAUAACCCUUUGUAAUUGCAGUCAGCGUCAGAAAACAAACAAUAUUACAA